GCCGGCGCCCGAGCUCUGGCUCCGUGUCUUCACUCCCGUGUUUGUCCAAGGAGGGAGGGAGGGACGGGGGCUGUGCUGGGGCAGCCGGA
ensembl:miRNA